rnacentral:rRNA from 1 species
GACGAACGCUGGCGGCGUGCUUAACACAUGCAAGUCGAACGGGCCUGUCUUCUUUUUUGGGGGUGGGUUGAGUGGCGAACGGGUGAGUAUCACGUGAGUAACCUGCCCUUCGGUCCUGGAUAACCGCUUGAAAGGGCGGCUAAUACGGGGUGGUCCGGUUGGUCCGCAUGGGCUGGUCGGGAUAGAUUCACUGUUUUUGGUGUUUCGGCGGGGGAUGGGCUCGCGGCCUAUCAGCUUGUUGGUGGGGUGAUGGCCUACCAAGGCGGUGACGGGUAGCCGGCCUGAGAGGGUGGGCGGCCACACUGGGACUGAGAUACGGCCCAGACUCCUGCGGGAGGCAGCAGUGGGGGGUAUUGCGCAAUGGGCGGAAGCCUGAUGCAGCGACGUCGCGUGAGGGAUGGAGGCCUUCGGGUUGUGAACCUCUGUUUCCGGUGGUGAAGGCCCUGUCCGUGUGGUGGGGUUGACGGUAGCCGGGGAUGAAGCGCCGGCUAACUACGUG